AUUGAACGCUGGCGGCAGGCCUAACACAUGCAAGUCGAGCGGAGCGUCGGACGGGUGAGUAAUGACUAGUAAUCUGCCUGGUGGUGGGGUAUAACGCCGGGAAACGGGACCUAAUACCGCAUACUUUCAGAUCAGCCUCGGUUGGAUUAGCUAGAUGGUGGGGUAAAGGCUUAACAAGGCGACGAUCCGUCACUGGUCUGAGAGGAUGAUCCGUCACACUGGAACUGAGACACGGUCCAGACUCCUACGGGAGGCAGCAGUGGGGAAUAUUGGGCAAUGGACGAAAGCCUGAUCCAGCCACGCCGCGUGUGUGAAGAAGGUCUUCGGAUUGUAAAGCACUGUAGUUUGGGAAGCGUUACCAACAGAAUAAGCACCGGCUAACUUCGUGCCAGCCGCCGCGGUAAUAC
rnacentral:rRNA from 1 species